AGGGGUAGACGGGGUCUGGGGAGGGGGAGGCCGACGAGUCUAGGGAGGGGGAAGGUGCUGCCGGCGCCGGCGUGUGGUGGCGGCAGGCGGCGCCGGCGGGGGGGAGGGGGGGGGGUUAGGGUUUGGGAGUGGGAGAAUGGAGAAGAUGAUGAGGUGUCUAAAUUUUCUUUAUCAUUUUUUUUAUUUUUUUUCCACAUGUUCUAAAUUUGCUUAGGUGUCACUUUCCGGCUGCCACCUCAUCGAUUCCGGCUGCCACCUUGUAAUUUCCGGCGCCGGUGUCAGUAAAAACCGGUCACGGGACAAAUUCCAGACAAAAACUAAAGGUUAGGUAUUUAAAAGAAGAAAAAUAAAAAAAGGUGCAAAAACCAAUUCCGUGGAAACGUUAGGAAUUUACAGGCAAUUAGCCCUAUAUAUAUAUAUAGGGGAGGGCUAGAAUAAAAACAC
rnacentral:lncRNA from 1 species